CCUACGGUAGGCAGCAGUGAGGAAUAUUUGUCAAUGGGCGUAAGCCUGAACCAGCCAAGUCGCGUGAGGGAUGAAGGUUCUAUGGAUCGUAAACCUCUUUUAUAAGGGAAUAAAGUGUGGGACGUGUCCUGUUUUGUAUGUACCUUAUGAAUAAGGAUCGGCUAACUCCGUGCCAGCAGCCGCGGUAAUACGGAGGAUCCGAGCUUUAUCCGGAUUUAUUGGGUUUAAAGGGUGCUUAGGCGGCCGUUUAAGUCAUCGGUGAAAGUCUGUGGUUCAACCAUAGAAUUGCCAUGGAAACUGGGAGGUUUGAGUAUGUUUGAGGCAGGCGGAAUGCGUGGUGUAGCGGUGAAAUGCU
rnacentral:rRNA from 1 species